rnacentral:rRNA from 1 species
UGGGUGACCUGCCCUCAGCUCUGGGAUAAGCCCGAGAAAUUGGGUCUAAUACCGGAUAUGACCUUUCCUCGCAUGUGGUUUGGUGGAAAGUUUUUUUCGGCUGGGGAUGGGCCCGCGGCCUAUCAGCUUGUUGGUGGGGUGAUGGCCUACCAAGGCGACUACGGGUAGCCGGCCUAAGAGGGUGACCGGCCACACUGGGACUGAGACACGGCCCAGACUCCUACGGGAG